rnacentral:rRNA from 1 species
GACGGAGGAUGCAAGUGUUAUCCGGAAUCACUGGGCGUAAAGCGUCUGUAGGUGGUUCAAUAAGUCAACUGUUAAAUCUUGAGGCUCAACUUCAAAAUCGCAGUCGAAACUAUUGGACGUCGAGUAUAGUAGGGGUAAAGGGAAUUUCCAGUGGAGCGGUGAAAUGCGUAGAGAUUGGAAAGAACACCAAUGGCGAAAGCACUUACUGGGCUAUUACUGACACUGAGAGACGAAAGC